CUCCAUUACAUCAUGUGACCCCUCAUAACAGUCAAGAUUCUUAUUCAGUCACUAAAUGGACUUGAUGGUUCUUUCCAUCUCUGAGAGUCUAUGAUUGUGGCUGUUUAGCAUCCAGAUCGGUAACACCAGAUUAAAUCAUUUCUAGUAUCCUUUCCAAUGCGGAAUCUCUGAUCUUCUCAUGUGAGAGUCCCUCUCCAGAGCUAUCGAAAAGGCAUGCUUGUGUUCAUGGUCCUAUCACGUUUCUUAGCAGUUUAUCAAUGUCAUGUUUAAAUAUACUUGAGCCCUGUGCCACAGUAAAGACUCAACUAGGAUUGCAGGUUUAGCAUGCAGCCAAGGAGCAAUGAUAUUGUAAACACAAACCUUUCUGACUCCAUAGAAGUGCCCUUAGGUCAGUGUCCAAAGCUACCAAAAGUAGCUUUGGCUAAGACUUGCCCCUCACAGUCAGGGCCAUCUGCCCUUUUCCCUAGGAGGUAGCUGUAUGUCUAUAUCUAAAUCCCUAAAACACCAUCCCUUCAAUUUCCCCUUCUCUACAGGAGAAUGCCCAAAGGACCACUGAUGCUGGAAUUCCAGUUAAGCAGAAAUAGGUUUUCUUGGCAAAGAUACUGGAGUGGUGUGCCAUUUCCUUCUCCAGUUCAUUUUUUCAGAUGAGAAAACUGAACUCCUCCUCCCCAAGAAGGCAGUUCCCAAGCAGAACUGAUUCAGAACCAUUCUCUUUGGACUGAAAUUUCUCCUGCUUCAUCUCAGUACUAUGACCAAGGUUCGGACACUGGCAGAUUCUUCCUCCUGUCUGCUGCUGACUGGGGACAAGGCUCCUACAAUAUGGAUUUUGUUGUCUGAUCUCCCGUAACCCACCAGCGCCCCUUGUCAAAAACAGAGGGCCUACAGCUCGACCACUGUUCGACACAGAAAACAGCAAGUCAUGAAUCACGGAGGCUUCUGGAGUCCGGCCGAACAAAAGGCCUCCAUCUCCAGGAGACUUCGGGGAGCGGCGUCCUGGCCUCCUUCCACCCCAAGCCGGGUUCUUCCCCACUGGCCCAGGCGAGCCCCGGAAGGGAACCGCUCCGGGCAGGUGGACUCGAGGCCGUGGUCACUUAAUCUUCUCACAUUCACAAAUGCUAUUUUUCAUACCAGCUGCACCCUAAACACUGAGUUAAGAUGGUGAUUAGUGGUGGUGGUGGGGUGUCACAGUGUGAGCUUUCUUAAGAAGAAAAGGCUUUGAUUGAGCCAAUGAAAGCUGUUGCCAGGGAACCAGAUGCCAUGAGCAGGCCACUCCAGCCGGGUAAGAAUACAAACCAUGUGAGUGUUGAACUGAGCUUUAACUGCACUUGGCAGCUGAGCCCGAGAACGCAGCAGCGUUAACUCUUUGAGCGCCUCAGAGCACGUGAACCCAACUGGGAAUGGAAGAAAGCAUUUAGUGUUCCAUGGGACUGUUGGAAGGGCUGAAGCUCCUGGGCUGUCAGGGUCUGCCCCUUAAAAUGUGCCAUCCUAGAAGAGUGGCAGAGAAAAAGAUGAGUUUGCUGAGGCUCCCUGCUAGAGUCCCAAAGGGUGGUAUGGCUUAAGUCACUGCCACUCAGCCCUCAGCGUUGACCUUAGUUUCCAACACAAUAGAGAUGGAAAGCAGAGCUUGGGGAUGGAAAGGAUUCUUGUUCUGGGACUUUCUAAGUGCCAUAGGGGAAAGGGGGGGGGCACCCUCCAUAGCUUUGGAGGUAAGGAGCUGUGCCAUUGAAGCCACAGGCAUCACCUUCUAGAAGGAGGCACAGAGAUGCUGCUGCCCACCUCGGGGCUCAUCAUGGCAUGAUUCACUCACUCACCAACUAUGUAUUUUUUAAGCCUUUACCUCCCAUCUUUAGAAUCAAUACCAUGCAUUGGUUUCCAGGCAGAAGAACGGUAAUGGCUAAGGAAUGGGGGUGAAGCAUCUUGCCCAAAGUCAUAAAGCUAGAAAGUGUUUGAGGUCAUAUUUGAACCCAGGAUUUCCCCACCUCUAUUCACCAAACCACCUAGCUGCCACCUACAACUAUGUAUUAAGCUAAUACUGAAUGCAUAAAAAACAGGGCAAUGGGGGGGAGGGAUCUGAAAUGUGCUCAUAAUCUAGAGAGUGAAAGAAAACACACAAGAAGAUAUAAAUAUUGUGAAGGAGCGAAGGAAUUGGAUUAACUGUAAAAAAUGAGUUGGAACAGAGGAAUAGAGUUGUGAGUCAACAAUUAGUCAAUAAACAUUUCUAAAGCAUAUCAGACACUGUGCUAAAUGCUAGGGAUAAAAAGGUCCUGUCCUCAAGGGACUCUAGCAGGAGAGAUAUCAUACAAAUAGUUUUUUUUGGUUAUUCUUCAGGCAUUUCAAUCAUGUCUGAUUCUUUGUGGUCUCUUCUUUGGGCUCUUUUUGGCAAAAGAUCACUGGAGUGGUUUGACAUUGUCUUCUCCAACUCAUUUUACAGAUGGGGAAACUGAGAUCAUCAGAGUUAAGUGAUUUGCUUAGGGUCACAUCACUAAUAAGUGUUUGAGGCUGAAAUUGAAAUCAGGAAGAUGAAUUUUCCUGUCUCCAGACUUGGCAUUCACUGUGCCACCUAGAUGCAUUGAACAACUUUGUACACACGUUAUCUAUGGUACAAGUAGAAGGUAAUCUCAAACUAGCAAAGGAUACAAAGGUAGUAAGAACAUUGAAUCUAAAGACAGAAGACCCAUGUUCAAAUGCCACUUUGGACACUAACUACUUAUGUGACCAUAGGCAAGUAUGUCACCCCUCUCUGACUAUGAGUUUCCUCAUUUAUAUAAAGGAAUAAGACCAGAUGGUUUCUGAGGUUCCUUCCAGCUAUGAUUCUGCUCCUCAAAAUCAAUACGAGGUACAGGAAUUAGGAAAGGCUUCUUGAAGAAAGUGGGACUUGAAUGGAACCUUCAAGGAUGUACCCAUGUACAUCACUGGAUUCCUAAUUUCCCUAUCACAGUGGAGAGUACUAUUAUUUUAAUCACCUAGGCUCCCAAACUCAAUGUCACCCUCUAUGAUUUACUCAGAACUGCCAAUGUAUCCACUUACCAUAUAUAUUCUUAACUAGCUAUAUGACCCUGGCCAAGUCACAAACCCUGUUUGCCUUAGUUUCCUCAUUUGUAAAAUGAGCUGGAGAAGGAAAUGGCAAAGCACUCCAGUGCCUUUGCCAAGAAAACCCUAAAUGGGACCAUGAAGGGUCAGACACAACUGAAACCACUGAACAACAACAACCCAUCAUACUAACCUUUUUCUAAAUCUUGUUUCUAGCUUCAUAGCGAAUAUUUUUCAUGUACAUCCUCUUCCCUUCACUCAAACAACCACAAUGCUAGUUUGAUCCCUCAUCAAGUGGCCUUCUAAUUGUUCUCCCUGCUUCCUCUGUCCCCUACACCAAUCAUUCCAACAUCAAGGUGAAUUUUUAAAUUAUAGAUUUGAUCAUGUCAUUCCCUGCUCAAUGGCCCCCAGUAGCUCUCAGUGUGAUCUCCAGGACCAAAUGUCAAAUUAUCAGUUUGAUAUUUAAAGCUUAUCUUGGCUUGGCUCUUUCCUACAUUUCCAGUCUUCUUAUACUUUGUUCUUCUACAAGUACCCACAAUACAACACUCCAUCUCCCACCUUUGUGUUUUUGCAUUGAUGGUACCUCAUGCCUGGAAUUCUCUAUCCCUCCUUCUGCCUCUGGACCCUAAGCAAAUCACUUAACUCUGAUGAUCUCAGUUUCCCCAUCUGUAAAAUGAGCUGGAGAAGAAAAUGUCAAACCACUCUGCUUCUGACUUCCUUUAAGAUAGCUUAAAGAUCUCCUUCUUCAUGAGAUGUUCCCCUUUGCUGCUAAUGGCUUCCCCUUUCUGAUUAUUUUCUAUGUAUUCUAUAAAUUUCUUCUAUGUGUGAUAUUCUCCUUAGUUAUUCACAUUUCAUUUUCCCUAUUAGAAUGUUUGCUCCUUGAGGGCAGGAACUGAUUUUUAUCUUUAUAUUCUGAGGGUUUAUCCCAGUACCUAACAAAGUAAGCACUUAAUUAUGUCUCAUUGACCAGUUUAUUUACAUAGGUAGAAAGGGAGGGAGGGGGACCAGCCUGAGAAAAAGCAUGAGGUCAGGCAAUAAACAUUUAAGUACCUCCUAUGUAGCUGGCACUGUGCUAAGCACAGGAAUAGACAGCCCUAUCCUCAAGGAGUUCACAAUGUAAUGGGGAAGACAGGAAAACAAUUAUGUACAAACAAAAUAUAUAGAUAUAGCUGUUAAAUAGGAAGUAAAAUUAGAAUAAAAAGGGGUUAGAAAAGGCUUCCCAUAGAAGGUAAGAUUUUAGCUGGGACUUAAAGGAAAACAGAGAGGUCAGAAAAAAAUGCCUCAAGCCAGGCCAAGAAUAUCAAGGGAAUUAAUGAACAAAAAAUAUGAAGAAAGGAAGUCUAGCCAUGCCAGAUCUCAAAUUAUACUAUGAAGUGGUAAUUAUCAAAACAAUAUGUUACUGUCUAAGAAUUAUAAUAGAGGAUCAAUGGAAUAAGUUAGGUACUCAAUACACAGUAGGUAAUGACCAUAGUAAACUAGCAUUCGAUAAACGCAAAGAUCUAUACUUUUGGGGAAAGAACUUACUAUUUGACAAAAACUGCUGGGAAAACUGAAAAAUAGUAUGGCAGAAACUAGUUAUAGACCAACAUCUCACACCAUACACAAGAAUUAAGUCAACAUGGAUACACUUAAUCUAUAAAUAAAGGAUGACAUCAUAAAUUAUGGAACACAGAAAAGUUUACCUGUAAGACUUAUUGAUAAAGGAGGAAUUUAUGACCAAAAAAUACAUAGAGAACAUUAUGAAAAAUGAAAUGGAUAAUUUUGAUCAUGGUAAAUUAAAAUGUUUCUGUACAAGCAAAACCAAUGCAAUCAAGAUUAGGAAAAAACAACAACAAAUGGGGGGGGGUGUUAUAGAAAGUAUUUCUGACAAAGACCUAAAUCUCUCAAGUACAUAGAAAAUUGUCUCAGAUUUAAUGAGAACACAAAGCACUCCCCAACUGAUAAAUGGUCAAAGAAUAUGAACAAGCAGUUAUCAGGGGAAGACAAAAACUAUUUAUAUUCAUAUGAAAAAAUGUUUCAAAUCUUCUGAUUAGAGAAAUGCAAAUUAAAACAAGUUUUAGAUACUACCUCACACUUAUCAAAGUGGUUAAUAUGACCAACAAGGAAAAAUGAUAAAUGUUGAAAGGGAUGUGGGAAAAUUGGGACACUAAUACACUGCUGGUAGAAUCAUGAACUGAUACAAUCAUUCUGGAGAGCAAUGUGGAACCAUGCCCAAAGGACCAGAAAACUAUGUAAUAUCACUUUGACUAGCAAUACCACUACUAUGUCUGUAUCCCAAAGAGAUCAGAGAUAAGGGAAAAGGACCUACUUGUACAAAAAUAUUUUGAGCAGCUUCUUUUUGUAGGGGGAAAGAAUUGGAAAGUGAGGGAGUGUCUAUCACUUGGGGAAUGGCUUGUGGUAUAGGACUGAAUGAAAUACUACUACAUCAUAAGAGAUAACAAACAGGAUGAAUUCAGAAAAACCUGGAAAGACUUAAAUGAACUGAUGCAAAGCUAAGUGAGCAGAACCAGGAAAAUACUGUGUAUAGUAACAAAGAUACUGUAUGAUGAUCAACAUGAAGGACUAAACUAUCAUCAGCAAAUCAAGUUUCCAAGAUAUCCAUUAGGGACUUAAUGAAAAAUGCUAUCCACAGCUAAAGAAGGCACUGGAGUCUAAUUGAAGAUCAAAGUAUGCCAUCUUCCACUUUAUUUCCUUCAUUCAUAUGUUAUUUUUUAUUGUAUGUGUGAUAUCAAAAUAUAUAUUGCAUGAAGGCACUAGUAUAGCCUAUAUCAUACUAUUUGCCAUGUGAAGUAGGGGAGGAGAGGGUGAGAAUCUGAAUCAUAAAAAGUCAGAAAACAAUUGUCAAAAGUUAUUUCUACAUGUAAUUGGAAAAAAAAGUUAAAAAGAAAAUAUCUUAAGCUAAGAGAUGAGUUAUCUUGUUGGAGGAACAGCAAAGAAGCCAGUGACACUGCAUCAAAGAGUACAUUUGGGGGAGUAAGAUGUAAGAAGACUGGACAGGUGGGAGGGGGCUAGGUUAUGAAGGGCUUUGAAUGACAAACAGCAUUUUGUGUUUGAUCCUGAAGGCAAGGAGGAGCCUCUGGAGUUUACUGAGUAAUUGGGUGAUAUGGUCAGACCUGCACAUUAGAAAAAUUCCUUUGGUGGCUGAAUGGAGAAUAGACUGGAGUGGGGAGACACUUAAGGUGGGCAGACCCCACCACCAACUGCUAUUGCAAUAUCUAGGUGUGAGAUGAUAAGGACUUAUAUCAAGAAUAGUAAAGACUAGUAGAAGUUUAUGUGUUCAUGUAUUUUAAACAUUAGAUUAAAUAGAGUAAACAAACACCAAAUCAAAAAGAGCAUUUCCACAUAUGGAGUAGAACAGAAAAUGAAAUGUAAUGAAAUUUUGAACCACUAUGAAUUAUAGCUUACUUUUUUGAUAAAAGUAUGUAAUAAAGUUGACAUAAAAUUUGUUCUGCUUGAUCAUACAUUUUUGAAACAAGUUUUGUUUUUCUUGCCUUCUCAUUAGAUGGAGAAGGGAGAAAUUGGAGGGAGGGAGAGAAUUCAGAACUGAAAACAAAAUA